GACGAACGCUGGCGGCGCGCCUAACACAUGCAAGUCGAACGAGAGAGAAGGAGCUUGCUUCUUCGAUCGAGUGGCGAACGGGUGAGUAACGCGUGAGGAACCUGCCUCAAAGAGGGGGACAACAGUUGGAAACGACUGCUAAUACCGCAUAAGCCCACGGGUCGACAUCGACCAGAGGGAAAAGGAGCAAUCCGCUUUGAGAUGGCCUCGCGUCCGAUUAGCUAGUUGGUGAGGUAACGGCCCACCAAGGCGACGAUCGGUAGCCGGACUGAGAGGUUGAACGGCCACAUUGGGACUGAGACACGGCCCAGACUCCUACGGGAGGCAGCAGUGGGGAAUAUUGCACAAUGGGGGAAACCCUGAUGCAGCGACGCCGCGUGGAGGAAGAAGGUCUUCGGAUUGUAAACUCCUGU
rnacentral:rRNA from 1 species